rnacentral:rRNA from 1 species
UACGGGGGGGGGCAAGCGUUGUUCGGAAUUACUGGGCGUAAAGGGCGCGUAGACGGUUAUGUAAGUCGGGUGUGAAAGCCCCGGGCUCAACCUGGGAAUGCCAUUCGAGACUGCAUAGCUAGGGUGCGGAAGAGGGAAGCGGAAUUUCCGGUGUAGCGGUGAAAUGCGUAGAUAUCGGAAGGAACACCAGUGGCGAAAGCGGCUUCCUGGUCCAGCACCGACGUUCAGGCACGAAAGCGUGGGGAGCAAACAGG